rnacentral:rRNA from 1 species
CGGUGUUUAACUGGCGUGAUGUGGGACGUCCUACCGGUGGGCUUAGCCUCGCCGAGGGGCGGCCCAACUAAUAUCCCGUCGCGGUGCUCUUUACUGAGUGUCGAGUCGGGCCGGUACGUUUACUUUGAACAAAUUAGAGUGCUUAAAGCAGGCUAUCCUCGCCUGAAUACUGCGUGCAUGGAAUAAUGGAAUAGGACCUCGGUUCUAUUUUGUUGGUUUUCGGAACCCCGAGGUAAUGAUUAAUAGGGACAGAUGGGGGCAUUCGUAUUGCGACGUUAGAGGUGAAAUUCUUGGAUCGUCGCAAGACGGACAGAAGCGAAAGCAUUUGCCAAAAAUGUUUUCAUUAAUCAAGAACGAAAGUUAGAGGUUCGAAGGCGAUCAGAUACCGCCCUAGUUCUAACCAUAAACGAUGCCAGCUAGCGAUCCGCCGAAGUUCCUCCGAUGACUCGGCGGGCAGCUUCCGGGAAACCAAAGCUUUUGGGUUCCGGGGGAAGUAUGGUUGCAAAGCUGAAACUUAAAGGAAUUGACGGAAGGGCACCACCAGGAGUGGAGCCUGCGGCUUAAUUUGACUCAACACGGGAAACCUCACCAGGCCCAGACACCGGAAGGAUUGACAGAUUGAUAGCUCUUUCUUGAUUCGGUGGGUGGUGGUGCAUGGCCGUUCUUAGUUGGUGGAGCGAUUUGUCUGGUUAAUUCCGAUAACGAACGAGACUCUAGCCUGCUAAAUAGGCGUACCUUAUGGUAUCGCGAAGGCCCCCGGCUUCGGCCGGUGGGUUUUUACUACCAACGUACAAACAAAUCUUCUUAGAGGGACAGGCGG